UUUCCGUAGGUGAACCUGCGGAAGGAUCAUUCUCCAUUCUAUGUCCGAGGAGAUGUGAUUGAUGAGAAUGAGCCGGUCGAAGACUGGCCAUUCGAGGCAAUUACAUUUUGCACGGAAUACAUUAGUGCCGGUGGGCAAGAUGUCGUUGGUGUGUAUGGUUUGAGCUGGAAAAUGAUAAUAUUGUCAUUGACAAUCAAUCUCAUCCAUCACCAAUCCAUCUUUGCACUAUUAGACACCAGAUUCAUCGUUUGACUGUCACAUAUUCAGAAAAUAAAUACAACUUUUAACAAUGGAUCUCUUGGCUCUU
rnacentral:misc_RNA from 1 species